CAGAGAAGAAUGCAUUCUCCAUUACUGAGGUAUGUGCUAUAUUUCACAAUAUGUUACAGAAUUGCAUUGUUCAAAACAUAAUCUUUCGAAGUUCGAUUAUAAAUGAAACACGGGAAAUCAAUUGUAUGUCUUUUAGAUCUUCUGCUGUUUUCAUAGAAAAGUAAUAAUGUAGUCAAUGUCAUUCAUUUUCAUAUUGUAUGCCCUCUCAAUAAUGAGGUAAAAGUGUACGCAAAAAAACUUUACAGAUCUCAGUCUAUGCUCAGAUAUUCCUGCUGUAAUUGAAUAUAUUUUGAGGAUAAAUCUUGCCUAGAGGGUUAGUGCUUCACAUAGAUACUCUAUGAUAUUUAAGAUGGAGAAAUAUGCCAAAAUAUUAAUAUUGAGCCAAAUAUUUUGAAAAUUAAUGACUGUGCUGCUUUAUAAAUUCCCCCAAACUAAAAUUAUUAUUAAAAUUGUGAAAUAAUGUUUACUUUCAAAUGUUCAACGUGAUUUUUGUAUUCAUACAAAAAGUUAUUGUAUGAAUACAGUCGUGGAUGACCCAACAGUUUAUGGCUAUUUCCUGCCUUUAACAUCUUUUAAAUUUGAAGUAAGCCCUAUUAUCAUUUGUCUCAACCUCCAUUAUUUAUUUCAGAUUUCAAACUUGCAGACUAUCUUGGUUUGUGCUUGGUAUAGAAGUUUAGUAGAUUUUAGACUGAUGAGCAAGGCUUUCAAAUCAUUUUGUAGCAUUGUCAUGUUAUGAACCUGUGUUGUUUCCAGUCACUAUCGUUUCUCAAUACACCUAUUGCACUGUGCUGUAGAUAGAUAGACAUCCAGACAGACUUACAGAUAGUAAGAUAGAUAGAUAGAUAGAUAGAUAGAUAGAUAGAUACAUAGAUAGAGAAAUAUAGACAGAGAGACAGAUAGACAGAGAGGUAGAAAGAUCGAUCGAUUAGUGGAAGAAGCUGAUGCUUUAUAAAUAAUUAUAUGUAAAUUUAAUAAGCAGAUGAUAGUAUUAUUGAACAUUUAUAUAAUAUAUUUAUAUAAUAUAUAUAUAUAUAUAUGUAUUAUGUGUUACAGUUUUAGAGCGGCUAAACAUCCCUCUUGUUCUUAAACUAUUGAAGCCGUAAACCAAAUUGGUCCAGAAUGGGUUAAAUGAAAGGUUUCUGUGUAUGUAUAUUCUGUGCAGGUGCAAAAGCUAUUUUAUAAAAGUAUUUGCAUAUGUGGCAAAUAUUCCUGAAAACAUAACAGCUAAGUAAUUGUUUAUCUUUUUGCUACAACUGCACUUCCACAAAUUGGUUGUUUUGCACCUGGAACAUUUGGAUUAAGCCAUUAUGAUGAACUGCUGUCCAAAUGUCUAAUAUAUAAAAAGCUAAGAGUGUUCUAUCAACUUUUGUUAGCUCACAGAAUGCCAGAAAAAUUUCACAAAAACUGAUAGACUGAUACAUACAAAAUAUUUUAUAAAUAUACUUUCAUAUUCUGCUAGCCAAUACACAAAUAAUUAUUUUUAAAGAAGGAAAAUCACUACCAUCUCAGUUUGCAUACUGUUACCAGUGAGUGUGUAUCCACUGGUCAAAAUGGGUUAUUUUUUUAUUAUAUUAAUGUAGCCUAGCAACAGAGCUACUGACUAACAUUAACUUUGUCUUCUAAUAAUGAUCUCAUCUUUUGACUGCCGUAGCCUAUCUCUGGAAUGUUGAGUUUUAUACACAGAACUGUAGAACAUGUAUAAAAUGUAAUAAUAAUAAUAAUAAUAAUAAUAAUAGCAAUGUCCAGUAUUUAUUAAGCAAAAACAUUAUCAUGUUUAGAUAAAGUGCCUAAUUUGAGGGGAUCACAAUAUCUGAAGACUCUGAAAUCGAGAGGGGUUUCAAUAAUAUUUAAUAAAACACUAAUAAUAAAAGAAGAUAUUUACUAUGGUAGGUCUGAUUAAUUCCCAGAAAUUUACAAUCUUCAAUAUGUAUGUGCCAAACAAAGGGCAAAUUAAAUUUAUUACUCAGACAUUGAAAGCAAUGAAAAAAAUAGUUAUAGGGACUCUAGUCAUCUGUGGAGACUUUAAUUUGCCUUUGGAUCCAUCUGUAGAUAGAAACUUUAUGGGAGAGAUAAAAUCGGAUACUCAUCUAGUUUAAAAUUCUAAAAAGUUAAAUAAAGUAUUAUUAAAGUAUAAUCUUUAUCACACAUGGAGAACUUUUCAUCCUUUAGAGAGGGACUACUCAUUUUUUUUCACACAGACAUAAAAUGUAUAGUAGAUUGGACUAUAUUUUUGUGGAUGGGCAGGGUAUUUCAAAGAUUAAACAUUCAGAAAUAGGGGUGAUCACUUGGUCUGAUCAUGGUCAGGUUGGAGUAAGUUUGGAUAUUGACCCUCCUGUUAAGAACAAGAGAUCAUGGAGGAUGAACAUAGAAUUAUUAAAAGAUCAGGAAAUACUUAAAAACUUUAAAAAAUGAAACAGCUGCCUUCUUUUUGAGAAAUGACGGAACUGUAAACUCUAAAGAAAUAGUAUGGCUCUCCUAUAAAGAUUACAUAAGAGGGAUAAUGAUAAAAUGGCAGUCAGUUUUAAAGAAUCAGAGAGGUAAAUCACUGAGACUUACAUAGAGAACUGGUGUUAGUGGAUAGAGAAAAUAAAAAAUCCCCAUCUGAUCUAAAGAUAAAUAAAAUUUGAGAAUUACAAUCACAAAUAAAAAGAAUUCAGCAACUAUUGGUGGAUAAAUCUUUAUGGGCUGCCCAACAAAGAUCAUACCAUGGCCAAAAUAGAGCAGGGAAAUUGAUGACUAGUAAGUUGAAACAAAAAUUAAACAAUGAUAGAAUAAACAAGUUAUUAUGUAACAUUAUUAUUAUGUAAAAAACUGUUUGUUAAACCUGAUGAUAUUGCCGCAUGUUUUGAGAAAUAUUACUAUGAUCUUUAUAAUUUGAAUUCCUCUUAUAUAGAUGUUAGUGGGAAAAAAAUGAGAAUUGUGGAAUUUUUCGAUAAGAUCUAUCUUCCCAGUGUUUCUCAAACAGAGUUGUAUAAAAUUAAAUGAAGAUAUAACCGAACAGGAAGUUAAAUGGGCAAGCAAUCUCUAAAUUGAGAGUUGGCUCAGGUCCUCGAACUGAUGGCCUAGUUAAUUAAUUUUAUUCACUUUGUCAAGAGGAGAUCUCCAGCUAUCUGUGUCAAAAUUUAAACGAAAUUAAGGAGGCAGGUCAAGCACAUCCAGAAAUGUUGGAAGCUCAAAUAACAAUCCCCAAAACAAACAAUCCAACCCCUGAAUUUAGGGACUUUAGACCUAUUUCCCUACUAAACGUGGAUAUUAAGAUCUAUGCUAAAAUUUUAGUGGAAAGAUUGAAUCAAUACAUCCACAAUCUGAUCAAUUUUGAUCAAACAGGUUUUAUCCAGGAGAGACAGGGUUCAGAUAACAUCAGGAAACUCUUAAAUUUAAUCUUAGUGGUUAAAAAUAAAAAAUACAGCAGCAGUGUUUGUAAGACUUGAUGAUGAGAAAGCAUUUGACAGGGUGGAUUGGGACUUUAUGUUCCACAACCUGUCAAAAUUUGGCCGAGGUGACUUUACCUCUAAGGCGAUAGCUGCUCUAUAUACAUCUCCAACUGCGUGAGUUAUGGGUCAAAACUUUCGGUCUGAAAGGUUUGUCAUCUCAAAUGGUACUAGGCAAGGUUGCCCACUGUCUCCACUAAUUUUUGCUUUGAUCAUUGAGCCACUGGCAUGUGCGAUAAUGGAAUCUCUUGAUAUAACAGGAAUUGUUGUAAAUCGAAAAUCUCAUGUAAUCUCUCUUUAUGCUGAUGAUGUAAUAAUAACAAUAGACAAUCUGUAAAAAUCCCCAAUAGUCCUGCAAGAGGUUAUAACUGAAUAUAGUGAAAUAUCUAACUAUAAAUAAAAUGUAAAAAUAUCGGAGGCGGUGUCUGAAUAUGGGGCGGUCUGAGAAAAAACUUUCUUAGCCAACUAUAUCAGUUUAAUUGGCAAUAUUCAAUAACUCAUCUAGGAAUUAAACAGAAAUGUGCUGAAAUGGAAAAAACUAUAACAGCUAACUAACAAUUAGUUUAUUCUAAUAUAAUGCAAGUGCUGGCUACAUGGAAUAUUCUUAAUAUAUCCUGGUCAGGUAGAAUAGCAGCGAUCAAGAUGACUAUAUUACCUAAGAUCACCUGUAUUAUGCGAUGCAGACCCUGGCUGUGUCCCGUUUAUUUGUUGAAUAACGGGCGAUAGAUGUAUUCAUCCAUCAGAAUAAAGGAAUGCGAAUUAAGAUACCAAUUUUGGCCAAAAAUUCUGGGGGUGUGAUUUCAUAUCCAGACAAUCAAAAAUAUCAGAAAGCCUCCCUUCUGGCACAAAUACUGAGAUGGGAGGAAGAAGCACAAAACAAUAAUUGGGUAUCGAUAGAAGUCUUUUUUUUUUUUUAAAGAAACACAUCUGAACUCAACUCUUUUUUAGAAAUGACUUAUCCAGUGGUCUAGUGCAUAGUAAAACUUCACCAUUAUGGAACUUUCUCAAAGGCUGGCGGAAUUUGAAUCGUAAAUAUUCCCUGAUUCCAUUUCCAAGUCCGAUUACGCCUAUUUUAUGGAUUCAGGAAAAGAUUAAUUCUCCUUUGUUAGAGAUAUUACGAAAGGUUGGAUGUAGAUGCUUAAGAGACUUAUAUGUUAAUAAUGAAUUCCUUCCAUUUGACUAUAUUCAGUCUAAUUUUAAUAUUCCUGCUAACAUGUGGUUAGAAUAUAAUAGGUUGAAAUCGAGUAUUUACUCAUCGACUUAUCGCCUACAAGAGUUUAGACAGUUGCCUUUUGAAAAAAUAAUAUGUUCAACAAAUAGGAAGCAUAUGCUUUCGAAAUGUUUUAGUCUUUUGAGAGAUGGGGACUUGAACACCAAAUGUCUAAAUAUGAAAAUUUGUGAAGAAGAAUUAAAUCAAUCCUGGCCCAUGGAAAUAUGGUCAGCUGCCUCCGUUUUAACUGAUAGAUUAAUUAAACACGUCUCAUACAGGGAGUUAUACUUUAAAAUUGUAAACAGAUGGUAUGUAACGCCGCUUAAACUUUGGCAAAUGAAGAAAGAUGACACUUCUAAAUUUUGUUGGAGAGGCUGUAACCAAGUAGGCUCUGCGAUACAUAUGUGGUGGUUUUGCCCUCAUAUACAAAAGUAUUGGAAGGAGGUAAAAUAUGGUGUCUCUUGUAUAAUUGGUGAAAAGAUUUAUUUAACCCCAGAACUGGCUCUUUCACUUCAUACCUAGUUACCGCACAAAAGAACUAAAAUCCCUCCUGCUCGGUAUUUUUUCAAUAUCGAAAUGGUUGAUUGUUGUAAAUUGGAAAGCAGGAAGGUUGCCAAAAUGGUCAGAUGUGGAAAGGGUGAUGCAGAGAAACAGAGCAUUAGAAAGAGAGGAUGGAUACUCAGGGGUUUAUAUAGCCCCGAAGUAUAGGUGGGCCCUUUGGGACGAUUAUUGUUUAUCCCAUGGACAGAAUUCUUUACAGGUUUUUUUCUCCUCAUCAGCUCAUUUCCCUGUGGAAUCUCGGAACAAUGUAUGUGAUAUGUGUGUGUUUGUUAAACAUGGGUAUUGAGAUUUUUGAAUGGUCUUAUUCCAUCUUCCCGGGUUAUCUAUUAUACAGUUUUUGGCAUAUCUCCUCAUUCCUAUUUAUAUAGAGUGACUCUAUCUGCCGUACAGAAGAGGUUUAUUUGUUAUAGGGGCCUUUUUUUUUUUUUCAGGAUAUGGACGUAGAUGACGAUCAAUAUGUGGAGUUGGAGUACGCCUCUAAUAUAGGAUGAUGGGGAGAUUGGAGAUGAGAGUUGGGUAGAACACCCCCUGGGCAGAUGGGUGAAGGGCACAAGUUAUUAUCUGUAUUUUGGCUUAUUAGCAUACUAAGAUAUGUUUUAUUGUUUGAUAGACUGUUGUAGGUUUCUUCUAUGUUUUAUGUGUAACCAGUUUCAAACAGGUCGAG